AAGUCGUAACAAGGUUUCCGUAGGUGAACCUGCGGAAGGAUCAUUACUGGUUUGAGAGAAUGGAGUAAUCCAUUUCGAUCAUAUCCAAAAAAUUCUCGGUUUUCUGAGGAGGCCGGGGGAGCUCUGCUCCCUCUCUCCUCAUUGCCGUGCGGCCACUCUUGCCUGAGCGGUCGGCGACACCGCGAGUGGCGGUCUGGCCUGUCAAGGGCCAGGUCGUUGCCGGUGGGCUGGUGCAGAGGUUCAGUACCCCAAAGACCGAUCAGAGGGGAUAUCUAACUGAUCAAAGAGCUUUCGCCUCUGCAACUGGCUUUUGCUGGGCUCUUCCCCUUGUUGGGAUGUCUCAGAUGUGUGAAACUUUUACAGUGUUGUACUCGAGACAACGAAUGUUGUUGAAAAUAUAACACUGCACAGUGGAUCACUUGGCUCGAGGGUCGAUGAAGAACGCAGCUAACUGCGCGUCGGAAUGUGAACUGCAGGACACACGAACAUCGACAUUUUGAACGCACAUUGCGGACAGAGGAUCACUUCCUCUGUCCAUGCCUGGCUCAGGGUCGGUUAAACAUCCAUCCAGCUUUUGCUGGCAUUGGGCUCUCUCGGCGUGAAAACCGAGUGGCUUCAAGUUUGUGCUGUGACGGCGACUGCCUGCACUGAUCCUUGGUUCUCGCGAAUUGAGUCUUUACUGGCGACUGCAGUCUUUUUGCAGCCGGAUGUGGGGGAAUCUCUCUCCCCAUAUCCACCCCACUUUAACUCUCGACCUGAGAUUAGGCAAGGUUACC
rnacentral:rRNA from 1 species